rnacentral:rRNA from 1 species
UACGUAGGGUGCGAGCGUUGUCCGGAAUUACUGGGCGUAAAGAGCUCGUAGGUGGUUUGUCGCGUUGUUCGUGAAAACUCACAACUCAAUUGUGGGCGUGCGGGCGAUACGGGCAGACUGGAGUACUGCAGGGGAGACUGGAAUUCCUGGUGUAGCGGUGGAAUGCGCAGAUAUCAGGAGGAACACCGAUGGCGAAGGCAGGUCUCUGGGCCGAUACUGACGCUGAGGAGCGAUAGCGUGGGGAGCGAACAGG